rnacentral:rRNA from 1 species
AAUUGGACACAGGGGGGGAAACUGAGACCCAGCCAUCCCGUGCGGAUGAUGAGGGNCCNNGGGUUNUNAAGUACUUUUGGCAGNNNNNAAAAGGUAUCUCCUAAUACGAGAUAAUGCUGACGGUAUCUGCAGAAUAAGCACCGGCUAACUACGUGCCAGCAGCCGCGGUAAUAAGUAGGGUGCAAGCGUUAAUCGGAAUUAUUGGGCGUAAAGCGUGUGUAGGCGGUUCGGAAAGAAAGAUGUGAAAGCCCAGGGCUCAACCUUGGAAGUGCAUUUUUAACUGCCGAGCUAGAGUAUGUAAGAGGGGGGUAGAAUUCCACGUGUAGCAGUGAAAUGCGUAGAUAUGUAGAGGAAUACCGAUGGCGAAGGCAGCCCCCUGGGAUAAUACUGACGCUCAGACACGAAAGCGUGGGGAGCAAACA